CACACCUCCGCCUGCCUCUCCAUCAAUCUAUCUCUCCCAUUGGAUGCACACCAUCUCAGUAAAACUUACAAUUGGAGUACAUUGAAUGAUUUAGUUCGACCCAAUUGUUUCUCCGUUUGGCAGAGUCCACCACCAAAGAAAAUUAAGCAUUUGCAUUUAAAACAUGAAGAUAUACCGAUAACACCAUGGUGUAUGAGUUCCAGAACCAUGAAAUUCUUCAUCUGUGUUGUAAACUUUGAACAUUUAUUGAGGAAAACCCAUGUCUUCCAUGGAAAAAGAAAUACAAUGUUGAUUAUCUAUGCGCCGUAGAAAGCAUUUUAUCAGCAUGGUUUGGGAACAGAUCAAUCCAAGACCGCAAGAAAGUACAGAGAAUUAUGGACGCAGCCCAGACCAUCCGAGGGCCUGCCAGUGUUGAAUCUCCUCCUGGCGCAGCCUGGGGACGUCAGGAGCUGCGGACUCCGGUGGGAAGCGGCUGAUUUGGAGGUCUAAGCCGCUGAGGUUGGCCUCCCGUUCCGACGUCGGAGUGCCA